rnacentral:misc_RNA from 1 species
UCUCCGUUGGUGAACCAGCGGAGGGAUCAUUAUAGAGUUUUCUAAACUCCCAACCCAUGUGAACUUACCAUUGUUGCCUCGGCAGAAGCUGCUCGGUGCACCCUACCUUGGAACGGCCUACCCUGUAGCGCCUUACCCUGGAACGGCUUACCCUGUAGCGCCCCGCCGGUGGAUUUUCAAACUCUUGUUAUUUUUAGUAAUCUGAGCGUCUUAUUUUAAAUAAGUCAAAACUUUCAACAACGGAUCUCUUGGUUCUGGCAUCGAUGAAGAACGCAGC